CGAGAAAGCGUUGCCGUAGGCAACGACCCGAAGGGCGAAGCGCGCAACGCUGAGUCAUCCUUCCCCCACCACCA
rnacentral:sRNA from 1 species